GGCUCUUAUUAUGCUAGUUCAAAGCUGUGUGAUCACUGACGUGGAAAAAUGGGAAACCGGACGGAAAUAAAAUUCACGGAAUGUAGAUUCUCUCGACCAAUCGGCUGCUUGGAGAUCUUCCAAUUUACAGCCUAAUGAAAACGCUUUUGAUGCCAUCGCACCCCUCACUGAAUGUGCUCCGUAUGUGUAAGUAUCAAUGCCUGCCGAUGUCAUG